AUUGAACGCUGGCGGCAGGCCUAACACAUGCAAGUCGAGCGGAUGAAGGGAGCUUGCUCCUGGAUUCAGCGGCGGACGGGUGAGUAAUGCCUAGGAAUCUGCCUGGUAGUGGGGGAUAACGUCCGGAAACGGGCGCUAAUACCGCAUACGACCUGAGGGAGAAAGUGGGGGAUCCUCGGACCUCACGCUAUCAGAUGAGCCUAGGUCGGAUUAGCUAGUUGGUGGGGUAAAGGCCUACCAAGGCGACGAUCCGUAACUGGUCUGAGAGGAUGAUCAGUCACACUGGAACUGAGACACGGUCCAGACUCCUACGGGAGGCAGCAGUGGGGAAUAUUGGACAAUGGGCGAAAGCCUGAUCCAGCCAUGCCGCGUGUGUGAAGAAGGUCUUCGGAUUGUAAAGCACUUUAAGUUGGGAGGAAGGGCAGUAAGUUAAUACCUUGCUGUUUUGACGUUACCAACAGAAUAAGCACCGGCUAACUUCGUG
rnacentral:rRNA from 1 species